rnacentral:rRNA from 1 species
UACAGAGGUCCCAAGCGUUGUUCGGAUUCACUGGGCGUAAAGGGUGCGUAGGUGGUCGGGUAAGUUUAAGGUGAAAGCCCCGGGCUCAACCUGGGAAUGGCAUUUGGGACUGCAAGGCUUGAGUGCGGCAGAGGAGACUGGAAUUCCUGGUGUAGCAGUGAAAUGCGUAGAUAUCAGGAGGAAUACCGAUGGCGAAGGCAGGUCUCUGGGCUGACACUGACGCUCAUGCACGAAAGCGUGGGGAGCAAACAGG